rnacentral:lncRNA from 1 species
AGGAUGCCAAAGGCACAAACUGCUGGGUAGCACCCUGCGGGCAUUCUCUGGCAAAAUGACCUGGCUGUCCACAUCUGUAGCACACUCCCUGACCCAUUCUGCAUCUGCCAGGGUGCUGCUUCCCACAUAUGCCACAUACUGGCCAUGAUUGGAACCUAGAUUCAGUUCUGGCCAUAGUGACUGAAGGACGAGGUACCGAUGGUAGAAAAGUAUCUUGUGAUUGACCUCUUUCCCUCCAUUUCCUUUUACGUGGGGCAGGUGGAGCUGAGCGUACAGACUGCUCCGUCGGGCCCUCCGAGAGAUCUACUCCCUCA